ACACGGCAACAGCCUCUGAUGAUUGCGAUGGAAGAUGAGUGACAGGCAGCUAUGGUACUGUUUCUGAUACUGACUUUAUUGAUAAAAUUCUUUCUUAUUUAUAGGUAACAAAAGGUACGAAAGUGCCGAGUUUGUAAAAAUAUAUGUUGGUGUAUAAUGGAUAAGUUUAUUGUCUGGUGGGUGAUCAGCAAUUGCACCGAUGUCUUCGCCCUCUGCGGAGAGAGUGCAUUGUCAGCAGAACUCACUACAGUGGCUAGUGUGUUGUCGUGAGGUAUUAUAUUACAUGUUAAAUAGAACACUGUGUGACGGUGUCACUGUGUUAUGCCGACGAUUAUUAUUAACUAUUAAUUAUGCAUAUUUCUUCAACUGAACAGGUAUGGAUAUUUUAAAGCGAGCUAAAUGCCACAAAAGUUAUCGCAAAGAAAUUUCAAAUCAUUCAUCAUCUUGGAUAAAAUGUAUUUUUAAAACCAUUUUUAAUCACCAAAGUUCGUUUUCUCAUAGAAAGACGAUAAACUUCAAUAGCAACCUAUGUACGUACCUGGCAUUACACCACAUCCAUCGAAAUCUAGUCCAACACACUUUUUCAGCAUUCAAGGCUUGCCAGUCUAUAAAGACAACCAACUCUUCAAUAAUUUGCACCAAGGCACUGGUAAAAAACGGAUUAAUUCGAAAAUCUCAUCACAUGAAUAGAAACAAAAAGAAACUUAAAAAAAUUCUAUAUAAACUCAAUUGAACGAGCAGAUCAAUUCCGAUAUCCACGGAUGACAAAUUUACGUUUCGGAUUUUCUAGGGUCGCAGCUGAUUUAAGCCAUUGAACGAUGCUUCUAAUCUUGUAGCGACUAUUCACUAUUUACUAUUUUUUAAUAUUGGAAUACGAUUGUGGUUUCUUUUUUUUUUUGGUUCUAUCUUAGAGCUUCUAAGUUCAACUAAUUUGGUGAAAAUUUGAGUCACUUUAACAUUAAAUUUUUGACAUUUCCAUUCAAUUGCAGCUAACGGUGAUACAAUUAUUUGUCCUUUAAACAGCGCGGAAACAUCUUAAAACAGCAGUAAACUCAAGUGAUGGCUGUCUUUAAAAACGACCAAUCUCCAAGUUAGCGAAUGUCCCCACUAUAAAAAUGUAUGGGCGGAGAUAUUUCUAUAUGCCAUAUAUACCCUGCAGUACCAGCAUUGAGCGAUGACGAAUGUCAUCUACAAUGUCAUCGAGGCGUUGACGCCAGCCAAAUCGAACCCUUUGUUUUUUCUUUUGUUUCUUUCUUUUCCGCGCGUGCCGAACGUAGUUCGGUUCUGCCGACCGUGCGCAGAAGCAGAGAACUUCGUUUUAUCUUUUCGUCUUCUUUGCGCCUGCGUCGACAGCACUUUUUUGCUUUGUUCUUUGCUAAUUGCAAUCGUCAGACGGAGUUUUAAUAAGUGAUUAUUAAUCUGGAGUUUUAAUAAGUGAUUAUUAAUCUGUGAUUAUUAUUAUUAUCAGCGGCGGUGAAGAUGAAAAUACCCGACGAGCCAGCAGAAAAAGUGAUUCGGAAGGCUAUUCACAACAUUAAGAAUAGUCAUUUUCAGAAGACCUCAAG